rnacentral:rRNA from 1 species
AGUGAACGCUGGCGGUAGGCCUAACACAUGCAAGUCGAACGGCAGCACAGUAAGAGCUUGCUCUUACGGGUGGCGAGUGGCGGACGGGUGAGGAAUACAUCGGAAUCUACUUUUUCGUGGGGGAUAACGUAGGGAAACUUACGCUAAUACCGCAUACGACCUACGGGUGAAAGCAGGGGAUCUUCGGACCUUGCGCGAUUGAAUGAGCCGAUGUCGGAUUAGCUAGUUGGCGGGGUAAAGGCCCACCAAGGCGACGAUCCGUAGCUGGUCUGAGAGGAUGAUAAGCCAAGCUAGAACUGAGACACGGUCCACACUCCUACGAGAAGCAGCAGUGGGGAAUAUUGGACUAUGGGCGCAAGCCUGAUCCAGCCAUACCGCGUGGGUGAAGAAGGCCUUCGGGUUGUAAAGCCAUUUUGUUGAGAAAGAAAAGCGGCAAGUUAAUACCCCGCUGUUCUGACGGUACCCAACGAAUAAGCACCGGCUAACUUCGUG